rnacentral:rRNA from 1 species
UACGAAGGGGGCGAGCGUUGUUCGGAAUUACUGGGCGUAAAGGGCGCGUAGGCGGCCGAUCAAGUCAGAUGUGAAAGUCCUGGGCUUAACCUGGGGACUGCAUUUGAUACUGAUUGGCUUGAAUUCGGGAGAGGAUAGCGGAAUUCCCAGUGUAGAGGUGAAAUUCGUAGAUAUUGGGAAGAACACCGGUGGCGAAGGCGGCUAUCUGGACCGACAUUGACGCUGAGGCGCGAAAGUGUGGGGAGCGAACAGG